rnacentral:rRNA from 1 species
UGAGCCCUACGGGACGCAGCAGUGGGGAAUAUUGCGCAAUGGGGGAAACCCUGACGCAGCAACGCCGCGUGAGUGAAGAAGGCCUUCGGGUUGUAAACUUCUAUCAGCAGGGAAGAAAAUGACGGUACCUGACCAAGAAGCCCCGGCUAACUACGUGCCAGCAGCCGCGGUAAUACGUAGGGGGCAAGCGUUAUCCGGAUUUACUGGGCGUAAAGGGAGCGUAGACGGCCGUGCAAGUCUGAUGUGAAAACCCGGGGCUCAACCCCGGGACUGCAUUGGAAACUGCAUGGCUGGAGUGUCGGGGG